GGGAAAAGGCGAAGGAAAAAUAAAGACCAGCAGAAAGGAAGAUGACAAAAAUCAUUUGAAAUCCAUCAAUGUAUUGAGAGAUUUGCUAAUAAUGAUUGCUGCCCUCAUGGGAUGUUCUAAGGAUAAAGCAAAGGAUGAAGUGAAGUAUUCGGAACAGUGUCUGCCCAAAGGAGCCAAGCAAACUAGGCUGCAGUCACCGCCGGUUU